rnacentral:rRNA from 1 species
UGCUCAAUGAUUUUAUUAAUUAAAUAGCCGCAGUAUUUUGACUGUGCGAAGGUAGCAUAAUCAUUUGUCUUUUAAUUAAAGGCUUGUAUGAAUGGUUGGAUAAAGGAAUAACUUUCUUUAUAUUAAAUGUUGAAUUUAAUAUUUUAGUUAAAAAGCUUAAAUGUUAAAAAGGGACGAGAAGACCCUAUAGAAUUUUAAUAUAAUUUUAGAAAUAUAUUUAUUUGGUAAAUAAUAAUAAUUUCUGGAAUUAUAUUUUUGUUGGGGCGACAUUAGGAUUGGUAAAACUCCUAUAAAUUAAUAUUUACUAAUUUGUAUAUUUUAGAUCCUAUAUUAAGGAUUAUUAGAUUAAAUUACCUUAGGGAUAACAGCGUAAUUUUUUUGGA